GUACAUAAUUCAUUGUUGCACUAUAGAAUAUUGCUAUUUAAUGUAACUUGUGCACUGCAUAAAUGAAUUGGCCACUUGGUAGAGAACAGAUAUCAGAAUGGGUUAAUGCAAAUCAUAUAGGAAUGUGAGAGAGGUCAGAUGGUUAACAUCAUGAAUUGCUCAUUUGAUCAAUCAAGGCUCUGCAAGGUGUAAUAUUUGACAUUUGAGCUGCC